rnacentral:rRNA from 1 species
UGGGGAAUUUUGGACAAUGGGGGAAACCCUGAUCCAGCCAUCCCGCGUGUGCGAUGAAGGCCUUCGGGUUGUAAAGCACUUUUGGCAGGAAAGAAACGUCAUGGGUUAAUACCCCGUGAAACUGACGGUACCUGCAGAAUAAGCACCGGCUAACUACGUGCCAGCAGCCGCGGUAAUACGUAGGGUGCAAGCGUUAAUCGGAAUUACUGGGCGUAAAGCGUGCGCAGGCGGUUCGGAAAGAAAGAUGUGAAAUCCCAGAGCUCAACUUUGGAACUGCAUUUUUAACUACCGGGCUAGAGUGUGUCAGAGGGAGGUGGAAUUCCGCGUGUAGCAGUGAAAUGCGUAGAUAUGCGGAGGAACACCGAUGGUGAAGGCAGCCUCCUGGGAUAACACUGACGCUCAUGCACGAAAGCGUGGGGAGCAAACAGG